GGCCCAAAUUUGAAGUAGAGUAGAUUAGAAGGAUCAUCUGACCCUACUAAACUACUCCACUUCGAGUUUGUGCCU
rfam:Haemonchus contortus, ISE/inbred ISE, WGS project CAVP01000000 data, contig: Hcontortus_38242